rnacentral:misc_RNA from 1 species
GAGCGCUUGAUAAAGAGGAUCUUGGAGAUAUUAGAUCUCGGAGCAGUAAAGAUCAGCGAUCUGAUGCAGAGAAGAGAUCCAUAAGCAGUGUCAGAGUAGAGUCUGUCUCUGAUCGUGGAAGGUCUACCUCAAGGAAUGCUGAUGCAGAACUUACUCCACAAAAAAGCAGGUGGAAGUCUUCACCUAAUGCUGGACCUCAUAGUACAAGAGAUAAUUACAGGUUGUCAAAACAGGAAGAGUCCAAGUACAGGGAUUACCCGUAUGAAGAAAGGAUUCGACAUGGUGGAGCAUCU